GAUGAAGAACGUAGUGAAAUGCGAUACUUGGUGUGAAUUGCAGAAUCCCGUGAACCAUCGAGUAUUUGAACGCAAGUUGCGCCCGAAGCCAUCAGGUUGAGGGCACGUCUGCCUGGGCGUCACAUAUCGUUGCCCAAUGCCUAUUGCAGUGCAAUAGGAAUUUCUAGGGCGAAUGAUGGCUUCCCGUGAGCGUUGUUGCCUCGCGGUUGGUUGAAAAUCGAGUCCUUGGUAGGGUGUGCCAUGGUAGAUGGUGGUCGAGUUAGAACGAUACCGAUCAUGUGCAUGCUCCCCAAAAUAUGGCCUCUAUGACCCACACGCGUCUUUUGACGCUCAUGACGAGACCUCAGGUCAGGCGGGGCUACCCGCUGAAUUUAAGCAUAUCAAUAAGCGGAGGA
rnacentral:misc_RNA from 1 species